rnacentral:rRNA from 1 species
UACGAAGGGGGCGAGCGUUGUUCGGAUUUACUGGGCGUAAAGGGCGCGCAGGCGGCGGACCAAGUCAGGCGUGAAAGCCCCGGGCUUAACCUGGGAGGUGCGUCUGGGACUGAUUUGCUAGAGUUCGGGAGAGGAGAGUGGAAUUCCCAGUGUAGAGGUGAAAUUCGUAGAUAUUGGGAAGAACACCGGUGGCGAAGGCGGCUCUCUGGACCGAGACUGACGCUGAGGCGCGAAAGCGUGGGGAGCAAACAGGAUUAGAAACCCCCGUAGUCC